UGUGUGUGUGUGUGUGUGUGUGUGUGUGUGUGUGUAAACACACACACACACACUAUAUAUAUAUA